CCUACGGGAGGCAGCAGUGAGGAAUAUUGGUCAAUGGCCGGGAGGCUGAACCAGCCAAGUCGCGUGAGGGAAGACGGCCCUACGGGUUGUAAACCUCUUUUGUCAGGGAGCAAGGUGCAGCUCGGGACCUGUUGUGAGAGUACCUGAAGAAAAAGCAUCGGCUAACUCCGUGCCAGCAGCCGCGGUAAUACGGAGGAGGCAAGCGUUAUCCGGAUUUACUGGGUGUAAAGGGAGCGUAGACGGUGCAUCACGUCUGAUGUGAAAGGUCGGGGCCCAACCCUGGGACUGCAUUGGAAACUGUUGAACUGGAGUACAGGAGAGGUAAGCGGAAGUCCUAGUGCAGCGGUGAAAUGCGUAGAUAUUAGGAGGAACACCAGGGGCGAAGGCGGCUUACUGGACUGUAACUGACAUUGAGGCUCGAAAGCGUGGGGAGCAAACAGGAUUAGAUACCCGAGUAGUC
rnacentral:rRNA from 1 species